GACGAACGCUGGCGGCGUGGAUUAGGCAUGCAAGUCGAACGGUAUCAUCCUUCGGGGGUGAGAGAGUGGCGAACUGGUGAGUAACACGUAGGUUAUCUACCCUCAAGACGGGGACAACCCAGGGAAACUUGGGCUAAUACCGGAUGUGAGCAACUUUUAGUUGUUUGAAAGGUGGCGUAAGCUGUCGCUUGGGGAUGAGCCUGCGUCCUAUUAGUUAGUUGGUGAGGUAACGGCUCACCUAGGCAAUGAUAGGUAGGCGGCCUUAACGGGUGGUCGCCCACACUGGAAUUGAGAUACGGCCCAGACUCCUACGGGAGGCAGCAGUCGAGAAUAGUCUACAAUGGUCGGAAGACUGAUAGUGCGACGCCGCGUGAACGAUGAAUCCCUUCGGGGUGUAAAGUUCUUUUAUAUGUGAGCAGUGCUUCUUAUAUUAACAGUAUGGGGAGAGAGAUAUUAGCAUAUGAAUAAGCAACGGCUAACUCCGUG
rnacentral:rRNA from 1 species